UUGAAAGCGCUUCACUAGUGGAUCCUGCGUCCGGCACGGGCGCCUCAUCCACCCCCGUGCCGCACCCGACCCGCCCGGUUGUCCCCCCGGGCGGGUC
rnacentral:sRNA from 1 species